rnacentral:sRNA from 1 species
AAGUUUUUGGUUGUCUCUCGAAAGAGUGACACUGCACACGAAACCGCGUUGGUUAGUUUCUGCCCUUAUAUAUCAAGGGUAUGUAUGCUCAGGUCGGUUUCGUGUGCUGCAUCUUUGACGCAUUCAUUUAUUGGUAACGCAUGAACCCCAUCGUAAUUAAUCGGCUUCAACGAAAGCUGGGCUACACUUUUG